ACUCAAAUGAAUUGACGGGGGCCCGCACAAGCGGAGGAACAUGUGGUUUAAUUCGAUGAUACGCGAGGAACCUUACCCGGGCUUGAAAUGCAGAGGAAUGAAGUGGAAACAUAUCAGUCAGCAAUGACCUCUGUGUAGGUGCUGCAUGGUUGUCGUCAGCUCGUGCCGUGAGGUGUCGGCUUAAGUGCCAUAACGAGCGCAACCCUUAUCAUUAGUUACUAACAGGUUAAGCUGAGGACUCUAGUGAGACUGCCACCGCAAGGUGAGAGGAAGGUGGGGAUGACGUCAAAUCAGCACGGCCCUUACGUCCGGGGCGACACACGUGUUACAAUGGGUGGUACAGAGGGUAGCUACUUAGCGAUAAGAUGCCAAUCUCCCAAAUCCACUCUCAGUUCGGAUCGGAGUCUGCAACUCGACUCCGUGAAGCUGGAUUCGCUAGUAAUCGCGCAUCAGCCAUGGCGCGGUGAAUACGUUCCCGGGCCUUGCACACACCGCCCGU
rnacentral:rRNA from 1 species